rnacentral:rRNA from 1 species
UCGCACCUACCGAUUGAAUGACUCGGUGAAAAAUUGGGACUGUGGAUUCGUUCGCUUUAUUGGGAACAAAUCUGUGGAAACUUUUUUUAACCUCGCCAUUUAGAGGAAGGUG